rnacentral:rRNA from 1 species
GACGAACGCUGGCGGCGUGCUUAACACAUGCAAGUCGAGCGGAAAGGCUCCUUCGGGGGUACUCGAGCGGCGAACGGGUGAGUAACACGUGAGUAAUCUGCCCUGCGCUCUGGGAUAGCCACCGGAAACGGUGAUUAAUACCGGAUAUGACCGCUACACGCAUGUGUUGGUGGUGGAAAGUUUUUCGGCGCAGGAUGUGCUCGUGGCCUAUCAGCUUGUUGGUGAGGUAAUGGCUCACCAAGGCUUUAAAGGAUAGCCGGCCUGCGAGUGUGACGGGUGACACGGGGACUGGGAAACGGCCCAGAAACCUACGGGAGGCAGCAGUGGGGAAUAUUGGACAAUGGGCGGAAGCCUGAUCCAGCAACGCCGCGUGAGGGAAGACGGUCUUCGGGUUGUAAACCUCUUUCAGUACCGACGAAGCGAAAGUGACGGUAGGUACAGAAGAAGGACCGGCCAACUACGUGCCAGCCGCCGCUGUAAUAC